CUCCCUCCUUUUUUCAUCCUUCCCGAAUUUUGUACAAUGGGCGCCCUCCUCCUCCCUCUCUUCCUCUUUUUCGAUGAAGGCCCUCGGGUUGUAAACCACUUUUGUAGAGAACGAAAAGACACCUUCGAAUAAAGGGUGUUGCUGACGGUACUCUAAGAAUAAGCACCGGCUAACUACGUGCCAGCAGCCGCGGUAAUACGUAGGGUGCGAGCGUUAAUCGGAAUUACUGGGCGUAAAGGGUGCGCAGGCGGUUGAGUAAGACAGAUGUGAAAUCCCCGGGCUUAACUCGGGAAUGGCAUAUGUGA
rnacentral:rRNA from 1 species